rnacentral:rRNA from 1 species
GUGCUCGGAAGGUGAAAAGUGGGGGAGGGGUGAGUAAUAUAUCGGAACGAGCCCACUAUCGGGGGAUAACUACUCCAAGAAGUGGCUGAUACCGCAGACGCCCUACGGGGGAAAGGGGGGGAUUCUGCGGAACCUCGCACUAUUGGAGCGGCCGAUAUGGGAUUGCCUAGUUGGUGGGGUAUAGGCUCACCACGGCAACGAUCCGUAACUGGUUUGAGACGACCACCAGCCACACUGGGACUGACAGACGGCCCAAACUCCUACGGGAGGCAGCAGUGGGGAAUUUUGGAGAAUGGGGGAAACCGUGAUCCAGCCAUCCCGCGUGUAUGAUGAAGGCCUUCGGGUUGUUUAGUACUUUUGGCAGAUAAUAAAAGGUAUCUCCUAAUACAAGAUACUGCUGACCGUUUCUGCCGAAUAAUCACCGGCUAACUACGUGCCACCACCUGCGGUAAUACGUAGGGUGCAAUCGUUAAUCAGAAUUACUGGGCGUUAAUGGUGUGUAGGCGGUUCGGAGAGAACUAUGUGAUAUCCCGUGGCUCACCCUUGCAACUGCAUUUUUAACUGCCGAGCUAGAGUAUGUCAGAGGGGGGUAAAAUUCCAC